AUGUUUGCUAUGGAGAUUUUCGGGCAUGUGAGAGAAGUCGAUUGUUAUCCUAAUAUCUCCAUUGCCUAUCGCAUCUUAUUUACUGUGCCUGUGAUGCUCUCAUCAGCCAAAAGAAGCUUUUUGAAGUUGAAAUUAUUGAAGAACUAUUCAAGGUCAACAAUGACUCAAGAGAGGUUAAAUGGGUUGGCUACAUUAUGCAUCGAGAAGAAAUUAUUGGAUGAGAUUGACAUCGACCCCAUCAUAAGUGACUUUGCAUCGAGGAAUGUUAGAAGAUUUUUUUAG
rnacentral:rRNA from 1 species